rnacentral:rRNA from 1 species
AUUGAACGCUGGCGGCAGGCCUAACACAUGCAAGUCGAGCGGAUGAAGAGAGCUUGCUCUCUGAUUCAGCGGCGGACGGGUGAGUAAUGCCUAGGAAUCUGCCUGGUAGUGGGGGACAACGUUUCGAAAGGAACGCUAAUACCGCAUACGUCCUACGGGAGAAAGCAGGGGACCUUCGGGCCUUGCGCUAUCAGAUGAGCCUAGGUCGGAUUAGCUAGUUGGUGGGGUAAAGGCUCACCAAGGCGACGAUCCGUAACUGGUCUGAGAGGAUGAUCAGUCACACUGGAACUGAGACACGGUCCAGACUCCUACGGGAGGCAGCAGUGGGGAAUAUUGGACAAUGGGCGAAAGCCUGAUCCAGCCAUGCCGCGUGUGUGAAGAAGGUCUUCGGAUUGUAAAGCACUUUAAGUUGGGAGGAAGGGCAGUAAGCUAAUACCUUGCUGUUUUGACGUUACCAACAGAAUAAGCACCGGCUAACUUCGUGCCAGCCGCCGCAGUAAAAC